rnacentral:rRNA from 1 species
GUGGGGAAUAUUGGACAAUGGGGAGAACCCUGAUCCAGCCAUGCCGCGUGUGUGAAGAAGGCCUUUUGGUUGUAAAGCACUUUAAGCGAGGAGGAGGCUACCGAGAUUAAUACUCUUGGAUAGUGGACGUUACUCGCAGAAUAAGCACCGGCUAACUCUGUGCCAGCAGCCGCGGUAAUACAGAGGGUGCAAGCGUUAAUCGGAUUUACUGGGCGUAAAGCGCGCGUAGGUGGCCAAUUAAGUCAAAUGUGAAAUCCCCGAGCUUAACUUGGGAAUUGCAUUCGAUACUGGGUGGCUAGAGUAUGGGAGAGGAUGGUAGAAUUCCAGGUGUAGCGGUGAAAUGCGUAGAGAUCUGGAGGAAUACCGAUGGCGAAGGCAGCCAUCUGGCCUAAUACUGACACUGAGGUGCGAAAGCAUGGGGAGCAAACAGGAUUAGAUACCCCGGUAGUCC